UACGUAGGGUGCAAGCGUUAAUCGGAAUUACUGGGCGUAAAGCGUGCGCAGGCGGCUUUGCAAGACAGAUGUGAAAUCCCCGGGCUCAACCUGGGAACUGCAUUUGUGACUGCAUGGCUGGAGUGCGGCAGAGGGGGAUGGAAUUCCGCGUGUAGCAGUGUAAUGCGUAGAUAUGCGGAGGAACACCGAUGGCGAAGGCAAUCACCUGGGCCUGCACUGACGCUCAUGCACGAAAGCGUGGGGAGCAAACAGG
rnacentral:rRNA from 1 species